GACGAACGCUGGCGGCAUGCCUAAUACAUGCAAGUAGAACGCAGUUGCGAACGGGUGGGUAACGCGUAGGUAACUGCCUGGUAGCGGGGGAUAACUAUUUGAAACGAUAGCUAAUACCGCAUCCUACCAUAUCGAACUGCGUUGUAUUAGCUAGUUGGUGGGGUAACGGCCCACCAAGGCAACGAUACAUAGCCGACCUGAGAGGUUGAUCGGCCACACUGGGACUGAGACACGGCCCAGACUCCUACGGGAGGCAGCAGUGGGGAAUUUUGGACAAUGGGCGAAAGCCUGAUCCAGCCAUGCCGCGUGUCUGAAGAAGGCCUUCGGGUUGUAAAGGACUUUUGUCAGGGAAGCGGUACCAGAAGAAUAAGCACCGGCUAACUACGUGCCAGCAGCCGCGGUAAUAC
rnacentral:rRNA from 1 species